AGUAACCAAAAAUUGUCGCUGGGUUCAAUGUUGGGUUGGUAAUAACGCGAACGUCACCACCACCUGGCGCCCAAGUAUCGUACAAACCGCCAAAGAACAUAGCCUUCAGCACCAACAACAGCGCACCACAACCAAGAAUGAUUAAGUGGAACCCGAUGAUGUUGGUCAUCUUGUUCUUGUCUUUCCA
rnacentral:antisense_RNA from 1 species